CAGGGGUGGGUGCCCGAGCUGCACCUGAGCUUGGUGGAGCCCUCCAGUCAUCACCUACUUAAGUACCUCAACCAUAGGAACCACACCCUUGACAUAACCGUGCAACACGAGAGUGCGAAGCAGUUCACUAAACCCCAGGGUGGGGGGCCGUCCCAGCCACGCCCCCUCCCGACCAGCACCCUCCACCCCCCUACCCUCACCGUAUGCCUCUCCCCCGAGGGGGGGAGCGAUGACGUCAUCGCACUGGUGGAGGGACUUGCACCUGAAAACAAGCGGUUCAGCUCCCUGAGGCUGUCAGGAUGUCAUCUGGGUGAUGAUGAGGUGGUGAGUGUGGUGUGGGGGCUGCAGCAGCGGGGGGUGAGGACGACGGGGGGCA
rnacentral:lncRNA from 1 species